CCCUUAGAUGUCCUGGGCCGCACGCGCGUUACACUGAUGCAUUCAACGAGCUUAUAACCUUGGCCGAGAGGCCUGGGCAAUCUUGUUAACGUGCAUCGUGAUAGGGAUAGAUUAUUGAAAUUAUUAAUCUUGAACGAGGAAUUCCCAGUAAACGCAGAUCAUCAAUCUGCAUUGAUUACGUCCCUGCCCUUUGUACACACCGUCCGUCGCACCUACCGAUUGGAUGGUCCGGUGAAGCCUCGGGAUUGUGGUUCUUGCCGCUUUAUUGUGGCGUGACCGCGAGAACUUGUCUAAACCUUAUCAUCUAGAGGAAGGUGAAGUCGUAACA
rnacentral:rRNA from 1 species